UUUACUUAACUUCAUAUAUCCAAAAUAUUCUCAUUUCAGCGUGUAACCUACAUGAAACUUAUUAAUGGGAUCGGUUACUUCCUUCACGCCAGGUCAGUGAACUCCAGGCUGUGGUGUGUAUUGCACCUUCCAGCCCCUCCCAGGACGGCACACUCCUGGGUCCCAGCAGCUGCAGGUGCGGGCAGCGGGGAUGGGGCAGGCUGGACGGAGGUAACAACCACCACUCGGUUCCGGCCCGAUCAGCUGCGCUGCAGUCUUUCUAGUUCCCUAACGCCGAAGCUCCCCGUCCUCCAGAGACCCCAGAACACACCUCUCCAGGCGCCGCCCUACCGCCUCCUGGAGAAUGGCGCCUGUGCUGUCCUCUUCGGGCUGUUCCGCCAGCCUGCCUUACUCAGUAGGUCAUGCGGCACUUUAUGAUUCCAAAAGGAAAGCCCGAACAUAGCAAAUGCGUGUGUGAGAGCUCCCGACACAUCCUGGGCUUCUAGGACAGAAGGCACAUUCUGGUCCUUUGUCUUCACUGCCCCCUGCCAACCUCUGUCUCGCCACCACUUCUCCUCGGAUGUUCUUUUCCCCUCUGCCCUUCCCAGACUGAGCGGGGUGGGGGUGAGCUGCUGGGGCAUUCCUGAGCCCCACCCCAGGCAAGACAUUUGCAGAGGGCGGGGCAGGACCAGCCUCGCCUUGCCGUCCGUGCCACAGCAGCAAGUCCGCAGGGGGCCCGCCGCACCUGCGUGGACACGAAGGCCAGCCUGGCGGGCUCCCGAGAGAGUGCCGCAGAUCCACCCACGGAGGGUCCGCAGGUGCCCACAGCCCAGGCAGGUGGCCAGGAGAGGUACGAGCAUAACGCUGUCCAGGGAUAAGAUGAGAGAACAUAGGCCCCACUCAGGGCAUUUAGACUCACUAUUUAACCCUGCACACGCUAAAUAAAACUGGUCAGAGCCCAAGAGUCAUUCGGGUGUGGUUCCUGACAGAAGAAUGUGCACUGGGGACUGGUGGCCGGUAUCUGAGGGGCCACCACCUCCGCUCCCGCCAGCCCCUUUCAGGCCUGACUGCGAGUUCCUGUCCCGUCUCCAUGUUCACGUGAGUCAACACCCACAUCACUGACCUCACAAUCAGCCUUCUGAACUCACAGAUCCUCAGUGCUCUCUUCCAGCGACCCUAAAUCCCAUUCAGAAUGGGACCCUCCGAAGGAGUGAAGCGAGACACGUAACUGGGAAUCCCGUGGCAGCCUGUCUCCUCUGCGCCGUGCCAGGCGCUGUCUCUGCGCCCUAAGCUGUAGGCCCCCAGCAGCUGCGGUGCUGCAGGCUGACCCCACAGCCACGGGAGCAUCCUGUGGGCCGAGGCGAGCCUGGACACCCUCACAGUCUCUGUGCUGUCAGAGCCCUGCUGAGCCGCGCGGGCUGUCCCUGGUCCACAUGCGAUGUGUCGCUGUUGGCGUUCCAAUGUGAAUCCAGCCCGUGCACUGGGCCUGCAGCCCUGCCCAGGAGGCCAGAUGGAAGUCCAGGUGCCUUGUCCAGCCCUGCCCAUCCCCUUCUCAAGAGGUUAGACUCUGCCCUACACCUCCAACCAGGUGCUAAACAGAUCGUGCGGAACAGGAAUAUCAUUAUCCUCAUUUACUGGAAACUUCUACCAUUGCCCAGCUACUGGAAUAGGUUUCCCCCGGAAGUUGACCCUGGCUUGAAUCCUGUCUGCUUCUGCCACACCUAUUUCCGGCUUCCCCUUCCUCCUGGCCUGCUCCUGCAGUCCCAAGAGGCUGCCCUGCCCGGUUGCACAGGUGCUAAUCACUGCUGGAGAAAACCACAGGGCUAAACCACUGGAUGCUGUUAGGAUUAGGAUCGCUGGCACAUGCAGCAAACAGAUCAUCUCAUCCUGCUUCCCCCUCCUGCGGGAAAGCCGCCCGGAGCCAGUCCUCAAGUCUCCGAAAUGCACUCAGCAGAACACGUUCUCUCCUGCUCUCAGAGAAACUAAGAGCUUGGGAAACACCUGCCUUCAGGUUCCAGUGGCGUUCAAGAGAAACCCUUCCUUUCUUCCUGCCCACAUGCUCUUGGCCUCCUCAGCCGCAGACUCCGCCAGUUUUUCUUCUACUGCUUCGUCACCUUUGCAGAAUACUUCUGACACCGGGUAUGGGGAGUUUCUCUGCACGCGCCAGGCAAGUCACUGAUUCUAUAGCAGUGGACGCUGGCAGGAUAUCUUCUAAUUCGCUGCAGCGCUGACACUGUCUACCUGGAGGUGGUGUGACACCCACAGUUCAUUCCUGCAGCUGAGUCCCUGUGCAGCUGUGGAUCCGGCCCCCACAGCCCCUCUUCGGCGAGAUGGCUCACAGGACUCAGAGAGACACUCUCGCCUACCAGAUUAUCGUGGAAAGCACUUUAAAGGUUACAGGGGAAGAGAUGCACAGGGUAAGGAAGAGGAUGAGGAGCUUCCAUGCCCUCCCUGGCACGCCAGCCUCCAGGAACCUCCACCUGUUGGCACCCCAGCUCUCCGAGCCCUGCCCCUCUGAGUUUUUGUGGAGGCUUCGUCAGUGAAGCUUGCAGUUAUCUAUCCAUCCACUGCCCUCCGCCAUCCUCCCAGCACUUAAGCAUGAGUUCGGUGUCUAAGACCAUCCUCUCUGCCGGGGCUGGGGACGCAGAGCCUCGCGAGGGGUCGCUGGGAUGCUGCACCAUGGCCAGGUGGACGCAGCCAACAGAGGCGCCACCAUGAGUAGCAGCUCUAAGGUCUUGGGACUACUUAUGCACAGCAAAGCCCUGUCUUACCCCUUCCUGGUGAUUGGUAUCCCACUGGAACAGUGAGUGAAGACUUCAGGUGACAGGGGAAAUCUCAGACACUGCAUUUUUUGAAGGAGCCCAGAUAGAUCAUCUUUUAACACAGCUGAAUGUCGAGAAUCACUUUUCUGUAGACUCUGCAAAACCUCAGGUGCAGCCAGACAUUACCAAGCACUGAAUGAAAGCUUCCAAAAUUUCUGCCUGCAUCCAUGUUGCCUGGGUCAGAAAGAACCAGCGCUUGAGGAGUAAGAGCGGUGAGCGCCGCUGCCCCUGGGGCAGACUGGCCCGCAGGUGCGGCGGCUCAGGGCACCUGUGUUGGGGAGUGUGGAGACCCAGCGGUGGCAGAGGAAGGAGGUGUGCAGGGCGGACCUGCCCCACUUCCCUCUCCUGGGGACAGCAGGAGAGGGGCUGAAGCCACUGUGUCUGGCUGGCGUGAGCUGAGGAGGUUGGUGGGGGUGCCGCUCUUGGCGACUCACCUGGGAAGGCCUCGAUGUGCUGCCCAGAGAAGCGGGCACUGCUUUCCCGGGACCCACACACUCAGCUCUCAAUGUCAGGAGGUGGACAGUAGCCCUGAAGACUCAAGCUCCUGCUCCGCAAAGCGAGGCCAGCAGGAGAAACUGCUGUUUGCGUAAGAACAAAAGCGGGGAGGUGGUGUUGUCAAAACCGGGAAGAUGCCCCAGGCAGGCAAGAGUGGGUGAGCCCCGGGCACCUGUCGCCACCCCACAUGGAGGCCUGGGGCAGCUGAGGCUUUGGGGAGCAGGAUGCCAGUCCUCCACGGCUGUGCGGAGGCAGAAAUUGCCUCUGCUGCCUCUGAGCCGCGCGGCAAGCUCUCUCUGGCCACCAGCGACACGGUAUGAACUGCAUUUCUAGGGCCGUCAGGCUCCAGAGCCCUAAAGAUGACAGUGGGCGAAAAGGACACAGCAGUACAGUGAUGCAACCACACCCAUUUCCAGGGGCCACGGACCGCAGGGUCCUGUGUGAUCUAAGUGAGGGGAAGGAGCCCCAAGAACAGCCAGUAUCAUGUUUCUUGUUAAGCCCAGGGAGCAGAUGCUUGGAGCCAGGUGCAAUUUGACUUAGAAAAAUAAAGAAAUGUGAUGCUUCUCACACCUGAGUGUGGAGGAGCAAUUCAUAACUUGCACUAUCCACUUAUUGAUUCCUCUGUCCACGUGCAAAGGAUUUGAGAGCACCUUGGCUGCCGCAAGCUGCGGGCUCCUCAGGGCUCAGCAUCCAGCCUGUACAAGGCACUUUUGCAAGAGCUAAA